UAUUGGUGCAUAUCUAGAACCCUUCAUAUUCAUAAAUUAUUUUCAAUAAUAGAGCUUCCGAAUCGACGAUUCACACCGUCAAAUAUGAUUUAAAGUAUUUAAAAUUUCUAGAAAAUAAAUUUCAUAAUUUUUUGAAAUCAUAAUAAAGUCCAUCAAGCGAGCAUAAAAUAAAUGGUUAAAAUCGAACGAUGUCUUUAAAAUAGAUGGUCGGAUAUUUUAAUUUAUGAUCGGAGUUAUUGAUCUUUAUCUAGAUAGUGAACAGAACUUUCUAUUAAACAUUCAACCGAUUUUGAUUUUUUGUAUCGUUAAACUAACAAGUAUUCUAUAUUGGUCCUUAAAAAUUAUCAAUUUUAAAAUCUUUUGAUUGUAAGGUAAAUGAUAUCAAAAAUUAUAAAAUUUGAUUUCUAAAAGCUUUAAAUACUUUGGAUAAUGUUUAACGAUACAGAUCAGCGAUUUGAAAGCUCUAUCACCGAAAAUAACUUAUGAGUACUAAGACGAUCGUACUCAUAAUAAUAUAGUAGUCGAACUCUCUCUCUCUCUCUCUAUAUAUAGUAGGGCUACUGUGCUAUAGCACGGUAGCCUUUGUCCUCCUAACUUUCUAACCGUCCAUCAAUUUUAAUGGGUGGUUAGAAUGAGAAAGUGAAGAAAAUUUUGGGGGAAAUUAAGUGUCUCAAUUUCUUUUCUUUUUGAAUUUUUCUCCAAUUUCUCUUGUCUCUCUCUCUGGCCCUAAUCAUUCAUCAAAUUUGAUGGGUGAUUAGAAAGUUAGAAGCAUAAGGACUGCUAUACUCCUAAUAGCACAGUACCCCUAUUCUAUAUAUAUAUAGAAUUAGGCUGGAAUACUAUCAAUAGCACUAAGUUAUUUGUGCUAUUAGUUUUGUAGCCUUUGGAUUGAGAAAUGUGUGGUUAAGAUGAUAUGCGCCCCUAAGGUUGAGUGAGUAAUUGGUUGAAUAGUAUAAUGUAACGGAUAAAAAUAAUCAAAGGAUUAAAUCUAAUUGUGGAAACUUAAUAGCAUCAAGCCCUUAGUGUUAUCGAUAGUAUCCCAGCUGAACUCUAUCAGCUCAUUUGGAUUGGUGAUAAGGGGUGGAAUAACCCCUUAUCCCUCCUUUUGUACCCAAAUGCUAAUUUUUAUCCGAGAAUAGUAUUUCUCGGGUAUCUGAAAUAAGUUGGUAUAGCAAUCCCCACCAACACCUCCAUUUUCUAUAUAUAACUGCCCAUUAUUUUUCUUAUUCCAUAUCAUCUAUCCAAAUGCUAUUUUUCUUAUCCCAGGAAGCAAUCCAAUUUUCAUCCAAAAGCUAUUUUUCUUAUCUCCAUACUUGUAUCUAUUCCUGUGAUAGCUAAUUCUUGCUUAUAUCCGAACCAAACAGUGCCAUAUAUAUAUAUAAACAUAUAUAUAUAUAUAUAUAUAUAUAAACAUAUAUAUAUAUAUAUAUAUAUAUAUAUAUAUAUAUAUAUAUAUAUAU
rnacentral:lncRNA from 1 species